rnacentral:rRNA from 1 species
UCGAACGAGAAAGUGGAGCAUCCAUGAGUAAAGUGGCGACCGGGUGAGUAACACGUGACUAACCUACCCUUGAGUGGGGGAUAACCUCGGGAAACCGGGGCUAAUACCGCAUAACAUCCUUGGAGUGGAAACUCUGGGGAUCAAAGGAGCAAUUCGCUUAAGGAGGGGGUCGCGGCUGAUUAGCUAGUUGGCGGGGUAAUGGCCCACCAAGGCUUUGAUCGGUAGCCGGCCUGAGAGGGCGCACGGCCACACUGGAACUGAAACACGGUCCAGACUCCUACGGGAGGCAGCAGUGGGGAAUUUUGCGCAAUGGGGGAAACCCUGACGCAGCAACGCCGCGUGGAGGAUGAAGCCCCUUGGGACGUAAACUCCUUUCGACCGGGACGAUUAUGACGGUACCGGAAGAAGAAGCCCCGGCUAACUUCGUGCCAGCAGCCGCGGUAAUACGAGGGGGGCGAGCGUUGUUCGGAAUUAUUGGGCGUAAAGGGUGCGUAGGCGGUUCGGUAAGUUUUGUGUGAAAUCUUCGGGCUUAACUCGAAGCCUGCACGAAAUACUGCCGGGCUUGAGUGUGGGAGAGGUGAGUGGAAUUUCCGGUGUAGCGGUGAAAUGCGUAGAUAUCGGAAGGAACACCUGUGGCGAAAGCGGCUCACUGGACCACAACUGACGCUGAUGCACGAAAGCUAGGGGAGCAAACAGGAUUAGAUACCCUGGUAGUCCUAGCCCUAAACGAUGAU